rnacentral:rRNA from 1 species
AUUGAACGCUGGCGGAAGGCCUAACACAUGCAAGUCGAACGAGUGGCGGACGGGUGAGUAAUGUCUGGGAAACUGACCGAUGGAGGGGGAUAACUACUGGAAACGGUAGCUAAUACCGCAUACCAUCGGAUGUGCCCAGAUGGGAUUAGAUUGUUGGUGAGGUAACGGCUCACCUAGGCGACGAUCCCUAGCUGGACUGGGAGGAUGACCAGCCACGCUGGACCUUCGACACGGUCCAGACUCCUACGGGAGGCAGCAGUGGGGAAUAUUGCACAACGGGCGCAAGCCUGAUGCAGCCAUGCCGCGUGUAUGAAGAAGGCCUUCGGGUUGUAAAGUACUUUCAGCGGGGAGGCGUUACCCGCAGAAGAAGCACCGGCUAACUCCGUGCCAGCAGCCGCGGUAAUUC